ensembl:lncRNA
UUGAAAGUCAGCAAAAGCAAGACUAAGCCUAAGUAGCAUAAAUUAAUGUCUUUUGGAACUUUGCUGUCAUCUGAACAACAAGCAGUUCAAGAAUGUGUUAUGAAUCCUCUGAAAGAAGCAUGCUGUGCAUGUGCAGUCAUGAAGUGAGUUCUGGCACUCAGAAGAGUGGCAUUGCUUUUCCAUGUGCUUUUAUAGUAUCUCAUGGCUUAAUCUAUAAUGUAAUUUACAUUACGUAAUACCUAAUGAUCCCAGAAUACUAAUUCUAUGAAGAUAUUGCUGUUUAUUGAAAUACAUGAAUCAGAGUGUUACUGAGGGUGAUAUCACCUAAUUCCCACUGCCUGAUUUCUGAAGAAAAUUAUUUUAGGGACCAUAUGUAUUUAAAAAAAAAGCAACUACCCCCAAUUGUUUUGCUGGUUGUGCUUUGCAAUGUGUCCCUAUUGUAUUCAGUAAGUGACUCUUUUGCAAAAUGAAUGAAAGAUGACCAAAGGAGAGAACUGAAGAGGAGCACUGGGAGUUUAAAAGAGUUUUGAUUCUGCACUGUCAUUUCAGUCUUUCACUGUAUUCCCUCCAACAGUUUAAACAACCGCUGUAGAUGGACCAAUGUGAGGAGGUGGAGCCAAUGUUAGGAAGGCACGCUGCUUUAACAAAGCUGGAGGUAAAAACAACAGCAGGAGGGACACAGACCAGCCUUGCAAUCAGAGUGUUCAGAGAGAGACAGAGGACAGAAGAAUUUUGGGUCUGAGAUUUGCCAGACAGAUCCUCACUCUGCAUUUGGAAUCUGACACCCCAGGAGCUUUGUAUUUUCCCUGAGUCCAUCUGCUGUCAGGAGGAGUUUCAGCUUGUGUUUGGGCUUGCAUAUUAGGGCAUGUGGAGAAACAAAUUAGCAGGUAAGAAAUUGCCAUUCUUCUGACUCAUUUCUUUUUUUUCCUUUUUUUUUCCUUUCCCAGUAAGGGGCAAAAAGGUAAGUGGCAGCACAUGGCUUAUAGCUGCCUUAUUAUAACCACCUUCCCAUGUGGCCGGUUGAGAAGCUAACUAAUAGUUCUGAUACUAGCUAAUCUAGCAAAAAGAUUCCAAUGGGUGGAGGUGAGAGUAACAUCUGCCUUUUAUAUCCUACUCUUGCCAAUGCAGGCAUGUGAGGUUUUUUGUUGUUCCAAGAACCUCUGAAGCAUAGCAAAGGUAAAGGUCCUAUGAAUUGGAACCACCUGCUUGAACUAAUGUUUUGGCAAGCUCCUGUUUUCCUGGAGCUGGUUCAGAGUGUUCUGGGCUAUGUAGAAUGAGAAAAAUCCACAAAAAAUUACUUAUACCCUCUAACCAUUCUCUGUGCUAUUGUGUUCGGACUGAAAAUGUGUAAUGAACAAAUGUAGUAAGCGUGAAGCACAUAGUGGGCUUGUAUGACCACAUCCCUUACUGUAUGGUCUAUUGUAUGGUCUGACAGUAAAUACAGAGCUUAGAGAUAUAGGGGCAAACAGCUUUCAAAACUAAUGCUACAUGUAGCACAGGAGAUUCAUUAGCUGCUUUCUUGAACCCUCUAUUUGACAUUGUUAGAAGUUUCAAUAUUUGUGUUGGAGUAGAUGGACUGAAAACCACUGACAGAUUCUAAGAGCCCCUACUGUACUUCUGUUUGUGUAUACAGCUUGUAUGUCCCUCACACCAUACCACUUUUGUGUAAGGGGCUUCUUUUUAAACCCAAGACUUUUUAUGACCUUUGCAAAAUAGCCCUCGCUGCAGGGUCGAUGGCUUAUCCUUUAGAGGAAAGACAGCAACAGGAUGUCCACAGAUAUUUGUCAAUUCAUGUUUAAAAUGGCAAAUAUAUGACAACUACACAUUUUAUAUAUGUGUUUUUUCCAAACUGGAUAAAACAUAAAUAAAUAUGUACCACACACAAAAUCA